GGGAUUCCCGGCAGAGUGAUUUUUGAGAAUAAGACACUGAAUCACAUUGCCAGGGAUUUCCA
ensembl:miRNA gmo-mir-23a-1 gmo-mir-23a-1